rnacentral:rRNA from 1 species
UACGUAGGGUGCGAGCGUUAAUCGGAAUUACUGGGCGUAAAGAGUAUGUAGGCGGUUGCGUAAGUUCGGUGUGAAAUCUCCCGGCUUAACUGGGAGGGUGCGCCGAAAACUGCGUGGCUUGAGUGCGGGAGAGGAGAGCGGAAUUCCUGGUGUAGCGGUGAAAUGCGUAGAUAUCAGGAGGAACACCGGCGGUGUAGACGGCUCUCUGGACCGUAACUGACGCUGAGAUACGAAAGCGUGGGUAGCAAACAGG